rnacentral:snRNA from 1 species
AGCUUUGCACAGUGGCAGUAUCGUAGCCAAUGAGGUUUAUCCGAGGCACGAUUAUUGCUAAUUGAAAAUUCAGAAACUUGAAAGGUCCACUCUUUCAUUUCUCUUAUUUUUUUUUCUCUUUAGUUCGUUCUGGGACAAUGUAAUAAAUUAAAUGAUUUUGAAAAAU